GGGCCAGUAGUUAAACCUGGUUAUAAUGCGCCGCUGGCAGCGGUGAGGCUCCGGGUUCAAAUCCCGGCUGGUCCA
rnacentral:tRNA from 1 species